UACGUAGGGUGCGAGCGUUGUCCGGAAUUACUGGGCGUAAAGGGCUCGUAGGCGGUCUGUCGCGUCGGGAGUGAAAACUUACAGCUUAACUGUGAGCGUGCGGGCGAUACGGGCAGACUGGAGUACUGCAGGGGAGACUGGAAUUCCUGGUGUAGCGGUGGAAUGCGCAGAUAUCAGGAGGAACACCGGUGGCGAAGGCGGGACUCUGGGCCGAUACUGACGCUGAGGAGCGAAAGCGUGGGGAGCAAACAGG
rnacentral:rRNA from 1 species